rnacentral:rRNA from 1 species
GGGUUAAGUCCGCAACGAGCGCAACCCUCGCCCUUAGUUGCCAGCAUUUAGUUGGGCACUCUAAGGAGACUGCCGGUGACAAACCGGAGGAAGGUGGGGAUGACGUCAAGUCAUCAUGGCCCUUACGGCCUGGGCUACACACGUGCUACAAUGGUCGGUACAAAGGGUUGCCAAGCCGCGAGGUGGAGCUAAUCCCAUAAAACCGAUCGUAGUCCGGAUCGCAGUCUGCAACUCGACUGCGUGAAGUCGGAACCGCUAGUAAUCGUGAAUCAGAAUGUCACGGUGAAUACGUUCCCGGGCCUU